GGACGAACGCUGGCGGCGUGCCUAAUACAUGCAAGUAGAACGCUGAAGGAGGAGCUUGCUUCUCUGGAUGAGUUGCGAACGGGUGAGUAACGCGUAGGUAACCUGCCUGGUAGCGGGGGAUAACUAUUGGAAACGAUAGCUAAUACCGCAUAAUAGUAGAUGUUGCAUGACAUUUGCUUAAAAGGUGCAAUUGCAUCACUACCAGAUGGACCUGCGGUGUAUUAGCUAGUUGGUGGGGUAACGGCUCACCAAGGCGACGAUACAUAGCCGACCUGAGAGGGUGAUCGGCCACACUGGGACUGUGACACGGCCCAGACGCCUACGGGAGGCAGCAGUAGGGAAUCUUCGGCAAUGGACGGAAGUCUGACCGAGCAACGCCGCGUGAGUGAAGAAGGUUUUCGGAUCGUAAAGCUCUGUUGUAAGAGAAGAACGAGUGUGAGAGUGGAAAGUUCACACUGUGACGGUAUCUUACCAGAAAGGGACGGCUAACUACGUG
rnacentral:rRNA from 1 species